UACGGAGGGGGCGAGCGUUAUUCGGGAUCAUUGGGCGUAAAGGGCGCGUAGGCGGCCUGUCAAGUCAGGGGUGAAAUCCCUCGGCUCAACCGAGGAAUUGCCUCUGAAACUGCCUAGCUCGAGGCCGGGAGAGGGUAGUGGAAUUCCCAGUGUAGCGGUGAAAUGCGUAGAUAUUGGGAGGAACACCAGUGGCGAAGGCGGCUACCUGGACCGGUUCUGACGCUGAGGCGCGAAAGCGUGGGGAGCAAACAGG
rnacentral:rRNA from 1 species